GAUGGCCUGGGAUCUCUGUUCUAUCUCACGCUGGAUGUGUUAGAGACCAACUGCCAUGUGCUCAGCAAGAAGGCAUGGAAGGACUGUAGGGUGCAGAGCUUGCAUGAAUCGAUGGGGUUAUACCUGCAGUACAGCAUGUUGUCCCAUUCCAUGAGACCCCCUUCGAAGAGGACAAAGUCAAAUUGGCAUUCAUUCAUAGGAAUGUACCCCAGAUGGGGAGAGGACCUGGACACUAUCUGGAACAUUCUUGGAGUGAGAACAGACUGCUCCUUCUGCCCUUUCUUCUCAUCCUGCCAUCCUGGUCACUCACCUUCAGAAUUCUCUGAGAAGCAGACAAUGCAUCAGUUUCCAUGUGUGGGGACACACGCCAAACUCACCCACAACCUGUCUCGCUGGCCUAGGUUCUGGUGUCAGUACUGGGUGGACCUGCCAGUUUCAGCAGCUAAUAAGCACCAUCCAUGGAGGGAGUGGCCAGGCCCUACUCUUUGCCCACAUCCUGAAUUUCUCCAGGAGGAUCUCUUAGAGUCCUCCACCUUGACUUGGUGAAGGGAUAGAGAGGGGAAAAUCUGUAGCACCAUUCACCAAGGAUUCCCUAUUGCAGCGAACCUUCCCACUAGAGGGGGUUCCUAAUUUUUUUAUAUCAUCUGGGUAAUGGUUGCAGGCCGUCUGGCCACUUCCCCUUAAGUUCUCUGGCUAGGAGCUCUACUAAAUGUAGAAUACUCAUCACUUGUUUUUCUCAGCUUUGACGUUUUAGCAAACAUUCUAAGGCACUAGGAGCCCUGUUCAACAUUCUGUUACACUUGACAAUGUAUAUAUGGUUUAAUCUAACAAGCCAACUCCUAGGAAUUUAUUCUGUGGAAAUAAUCACAUAUGUAACGAAAGCCUGUCUAUUGUAAAUUCAUUUAUAAUUAUAGAAACAACCUAAUGUUCAAAAAAGAAAAUUAAGAUUGUUUAAAAAAAAUGGUACAUUUACAUGAUGAAAUUUUAGGUAGCAGUUUAAAAGAUCACAGAAUAUUUAAAGACAUGGAAAUAUUUUCACAAUAUAUUAAAGGAAACAGUUUUAUAAGCCAAUAUGAUACAAUAUCAUUUCUGUAAAAGAAAAGCAAAGACAUAGAAAAAAACAAAAAAUAUAAAUAAAAAUAUUAAGGAUAGCUAUCA